rnacentral:rRNA from 1 species
UACGUAGGGGGCUAGCGUUAUCCGGAAUUACUGGGCGUAAAGGGUGCGUAGGCGGUCUUUCAAGCCAGAAGUGAAAGGCUACCGCUCAACCGUAGUAAGCUUUUGGAACUGUAAGACUUGAGUGCAGGAGAGGAGAGUGGAAUUCCUAGUGUAGCGGUGAAAUGCGUAGAUAUUAGGAGGAACACCAGUUGCGAAGGCGGCUCUCUGGACUGUAACUGACACUGAGGCACGAAAGCGUGGGGAGCAAACAGGAUUAGAUACCCGCGUAGUCCCUGA